UACGAAGGGGCCAGCGUUGUUCGGAAUUACUGGGCGUAAAGCGCACGUAGGCGGCUUUGCAAGUCAGAGGUGAAAGCCCGGGCUCAACCCCGGAAUUGCCUUUGAGACUGCAUCGCUAGAAUUGUGGAGAGGUAAGUGGAAUUCCGAGUGUAGAGGUGAAAUUCGUAGAUAUUCGGAAGAACACAGUGGCGAAGGCGACUUACUGGACACAUAUUGACGCUGAGGUGCGAAAGCGUGGGAGCAACA
rnacentral:rRNA from 1 species